rnacentral:lncRNA from 1 species
GUUCUAUCAAGAUCUAUAACAUAUAUAUGUUUUAACUGUGCAGCAUCAGCCCCUUGUUUUCUGUUUCACUAUUUUGAUUUGUUUGUGACUGACAUCCUCCAGCUCCUGUCUGUGACCCUGGCUCACCUUUACAGGUGUGCCAGGCAGCAGGAAGGUGCCACUUGGCCACUGUUAGACUCACUGUCUUCAGGGGAACUUUUCCCCUGGGCACUUUCACCAAGACUCACACCGAAUACCAACCCUAGAUUCCCAGGUAACCCCUAUCGCUGCCAUAGACCUCUGGCACACUGGGUGCGGCCACAGUGGACAUCUUGGCAUGAUGAGCCAUCUCUGGCCUUCCCUACAGCUCUUUCUAAAGACUUAGGCAGGCUCAUCUGCCUUGUCUCUGCCCGAGAGAUUUAAACAGGAAGCCCCAUUUCCUGGUCAUUCAAGAGAUGUUCUGACCAUGGCGAGAGGCUCCAGAAAUCUCUUAGCUCAGCUGGAAAGAAUCUUGGGGAGGAAACAGUUCACCAGUGACAAAGGUCCUGGUAGGGCAUGCUUGGAGAGCUCUCUAGUGGUCGAGAUCUUGAGCCCAUUUCACUUCCCAGAAUCUCAUCGCGGCGUCUGAGCUCCCCUCUGCUGCUCCAGGGAGGCCCUGGAUGCUUCAGGCUUUCAUUACUCUGCAAAAGACAGGAAAAGGAAGGAAGCGUAAAUGGAGGAAAAAAAGAAAAGAGAAGAAGCAGUUAAUGCAUUAACGGUAAAUCUUACCAAACCCCUCCCCCAAUAAAACUCUUAUUUCUUUGGUCUAAGAAACGCACGGCGAAGAAGAAGUCCUUGAAUUUGUGGAAAAGAUUUUCUUUGCUACCCAUUUGUAGAAAGGUUUACCUAGUCACACUGUCCACAGAGGCAUGGUUUAUAACAGGGAAGACUGCAAGCAAAAUGUCCAAUUAUGGGAAGUGUGACAUAAUUAUGACACACUCCGGUCCUUUAAGGUGAUAUUGUAGAAAAGUGGUUAUUGACUUGGAAAGAGAUUCAAGAGCUGUUAUUGAAUGAAGAAGUCGUUUACAAAACAAUAUACACAGUAUGAGCCUCUUUCUGUGAAAAAUGAUACAAAUGCCAGGGGCAAAAACAUCAACUCUUAGCCAUGGUUAUCUUUGAGUGGUGGAAUUAUGUUUUGGUUUUUUUUUCUCCUUUUGCUUCUCUGUAUUUAUUCAUUUCUACCAUUAAUGUAAUGCUUUUGUAAUGAGAAAAAUAAUUAGAAAGCAAACAUUUUUUUUGGCCAUUCCCACAGCCAAUGGAAGUUCCUGGAACCCACCCCUCUGAAACGAUGCAAGCUGCUGCAGUCAGAUCCUUAACCCAUUACCACAGUGGGAACUCUAGAAUGUAAACAGUUUUAAGCAGCUUUGUGGAGAUUUCCUAAUAGAAAUUCCUUCUUGCAAAACACCCUUAUAAAAUUAGGUUAAAAUUUACCCUUUUCCUACUCUGCUUGUCAACAAGCUUGAAAAGUUAGUGCUGUACUGACAGAUAGGCCGCAGGCUAAUUUCCUAGCAAAUCACUAGUGAAAUACUUUAUAAUGCACUGCAAUUAUUUUAUGGUAUUAUUGCAUCAAUCAAGAAACAUUUAUUGAGUGCCUAUUAUGUUCUUGGCCUUGUGAACAAUUUGAAAAUAUAACAGCCAUCAUCUUUUAUUUCUUCUUUGAUUGUUUUUGCAAGAGUGGUUAAAUUAUGUCAACCUGCAAAGUAGUUAAAACAGGCAAGUAAAACGUUUUCAUUUUUUUCAAAUGCUGUCCAAUAAUGUAUCACUAAUUUAAAAAAUCAGAAGUAGUUAAUGCCAGGAUCUACUUGGAUAUAUUUUUAAAACUGUGCAUAGUCAUUUCUCAUUCAGGUUAAAAAGAAAUCUUUCAUAUUUUCAAAUUGAACAAUCAAACCUAUAUAGCAUCAGUUAAUAAAACCCAGAAAGUUUAUAAGCUGGUUGGAAAAUAAUUACACCUGUUAUUUCCUGUGAAAAAAAUUAAUGCUUAAGGCAAGAAGCUUGGCUAUAAAUCCAGGGUGAUGUGUCCAGAUGCCAGCAGUUUUCUACAGCUAGAAAAGGUCUUGGGGGAUCCUGUUUAAUUUCUCUCCUCUGUUCUCAUCCACAUAAAUCUCCCACAAUCUCUCUUUGUGCUUUACUUCCUGACAUUUCCUGAGAGAGCUUGAGUCCAAGGGAUUCCUAAUGGCUGUUUAUUAAAAUGAAAUUUCUCUGCAGGGUCCCAAGCUCCCUUCCCUCACCUUCCCAACCUAGAUGGAAUCUCUAGAUGGUUCUAGUUGCAGCGGUCAAUUCAGAAUGCAGUUUUCCCAUUGAGCCUGUGGGGAUGCAAAACAGGAGAGACUGGAUUUGCUCCUCUUUUAAAGCCAGGGGUUUCCUUUCAUAAAUGGGGAGGGGGGAGUUCAUUAAGGACGAAGAUUUUACAAAGCCUAACCCUCCAGUGAAGUCACCAACCUUGUGAGUGUUCCGUGUGCAUCACAGCUCCUCGGAAGAUAUUUCAGAUUCGCAAGUACCAAGAACAUCAUAAAACUCCCUAUGCUAUCUCAGGUCAGAUCGGGGCACAAGCAGCUCAUCUUCGCUUUCAGAUUUUGUUUCCCAGGGUCUGAGAACAUUCUAGGGCCACCUCCAGAGGGCUGAGAAAAGAAUGCUUUGGGGAAGUGAAGUGUCACUUUGCUGCCAACCUAACCCUUCAGCACCUAAAAAAGAUUCUUAAAAAGCAAAUGAUAAAUGGAUGUGCUUUUUCUUAAUUCCAAAUCCACAUUUUCUGUCAUUGCAGUUAGAUGUGUUAAAUGCAUCCGUUUGAUUCUUAGAGGCUAUUAUAGUCUAGAAGACAAAGCAAGUCAGUAGCAUAUGCCUGAGUCUUGUCAUUUUGAAAGCACAUGAAAAUUUUAAAAUAGAAUGUUCUCCUCAAUAGGGAGCAGGGAAGUCUUUCUUUUCUGAUUGAAAUUCAGCUAGAAGGGGAAAUCUGGAAAGCUUAUGCCACAUCUGUUACACCAUUACCUCCAGCCAAGAGGGGAUCCUGGGGCAAAUUCUCAGCCAAGCUGGGGUCUCAACGGACCCUUUUUAAAGAGAGUUGCUGAGGCUGGGGGAUUCCUAGGAACUGGUUUCAUUUCUGUGCGGUUGUCCAGCUAUUUCCAGUGCUGUCGAGGGACCAAUACCAGGGGGACAGAGAAACAAGUCCGAUGCUGGUGUUUCAGGAGUAGAGGAACAAAAUAGAGUGAGCCUUGGGGCUGUGCCUGCUCCCAAGCAUGGGGAGGGGAGGAUUCCUGGUCAAAUGAACCUUCAAAUUCUAAGUAUCCUAAUGGUGGAAUCUUGGUGUUUAUUGUGAAGUCAGGCCAUCGUUAAACCGGAAAUGGCUUCCUACACAGCUCCUCCAAGGCCGGAACUAAAAAUCCACGCCACCUCCAGGUGUAGACUCCUCCCUAGCCUCAUCCUUUCCUUCCUCUGGGGAGAGAAGAAGCUUUAGCAAAGACUCCAGUUUUCUCAGGCUUUCUGAAGAAAUAGAAUAACCAUGGCAGACAAAUUCAAAUGUGCAGAGAACACAGCACAUAGCUCCGGGGGUGGGGGUGGAGCGGGGAAUAUCUUUUUAUAAACACCUCGGUCGCAGCUCACCCCACAUCUGGAAGUCAGUGGUGCCCCAGAGGAACAGCCUAAUUCACACAGGGGAAUUGGAAGGCGCUGGAAUGUGGGGGGUGGGGGGUUGGGGGUGGGGGUGGCACUUACCUUGCAGUGUGCGAAGGUCUUCUCUGGGCCCAGGGCCCCUUCUGUGUCCGUGAGAUGGUGUCUUCCGCGCUCCCUAGUUCUGCAGGCUGUGUGGGCCAAGCCUCGAGCUUGUGAGGGUUUUAGGCCUUGCCCCUCUCCCUUUAUGGGAUCCAGGGUUUGAAAGUAAACAGUUCUUUCUCUUUCUGAUAAGUCACAUUAAAGGAUCGAUUUGGAGGGAGGGAGGGCACGGCCUUAGCCCUUAGUCAUCGUCACCUUUGGUCAAGCACACUCAGCAGGACCGGAAGGUCCGCAUCACCCCUGCUGCGUGGGGGAGCAGCCGGCAGAAAGGGAGGCCCUCAGCCCUGCUGAACACCUUGUCCCUCAGAAACCCUGAUCUGGAUGUGUUUUUAACUCUUUCCUCGCAGGAAGACUGCCGUUCAGUACAUCGUCACCUCCUCAGAUUUCUAGACCCAAAAAAGUCACCUGAUCGUGUGAACCUAUUACAUUAACUGUAUCCUUGGCUCAUCCUACUUAGAGCUCUUGACCAAUAUUUGGAAGCCAGUCGCACUCUCCACCUGAACUAAUCAUUUCUGACAUCGUUACAAUCUAUUUAUUUGUUUACACCAACAAUUACGUAUUAAGCGCCUCCUUAUCUGCUCAGCUCUGGUAUCGCGUUUAUCCCAAGACAAACGGAGUUUACAUUCCCGUCAAAAAGAUAAUAGGAGAGCAGGAAUAUUAAUAACCAGCAGAGGAUGAGGUCCCUGGUCCUAAAUGUCAUCUGUCAGCUGCUAUUAUUUUUAAUGUUUCUGAUCAUUGCUUUUCCACCUCAGGCCACUUUGUCAUUUUGCUUUCUUACGCUUUGAAAGGAAGCUGUUUGUUACCCUGUCUAGUGCUUAAUGUGCUCUAAAACGAGCUGGUUAUCCUGGUCAAAGCUCAUGAUCCCCUGAGGAGAGGAGGCAGCCUUAACUAGCAGGUCAAUUCUCCUCUUGCCCUACACUUAGUUAUGGAUAGUAUUACUUUUCAGGGGAAAAUGGACAGGAAAGCAAACUAUGCUGUGGCUUUUUCUUUUUCUUUCCUAAGAAUCAGUCUCAAGAAAUGGACCCCAAGAAUUGCCUUUCUCUUUAGUCCUGCUCCUGCUCUCUUCCCUCCAGCCACCUGAGGUCAUCCUGCAAACUCGUACCUAGAAUCGUGCAAACUUGUACCUAGAAAAGAUCAGGGUGUUCCAGGAGGGCUGAGGGACUGACCUUGGCCUUGUGGAGCCUGGCACAUUCACAGGGUAAAAGCCCAAAUGUUCAUCCUGAAAAAGGGAGUAAUGCUGGAGUGGGCCCUGUGGAGGUCACCUGGGCUCCAGCUUUGUUCAAGGGCUCUGGUGUCACUGGAAUGCCUCACUGGCAUUGCCUGUGGUGACUUGCUUUGUACUUUGAAAUCUGCUUUUCCUGGUUGCAGCAACCAUAUUUUUUUCAGAAUUACUGCUGGUUUUCCACCAUUACAGUGAAACAGAUUUCCAAGUCCCCAACGUAGAUAUUCUCUCAAACAGCAGGAUAAGGCCCUCCCACUCCCAGACCUCACCCUUGAGCAUCCGGAUCACUUUCAUCAGCUUCUUUGGUCUCUGAAAUUUGAUGCGGUUUUGCCAAGACAGUUUUUCUUUUGUUUGGAAAACCCUGCAGCUUUAAAAUGAUCCUUUUUAAAAAAUGAAGAGGGUGCAUUCUUUUAAGAUAAGAUAGAUUUGAAUCUUGCAAGGCUGAAGCUCAGCUUGGAAUGCCU